rnacentral:piRNA from 1 species
UUUNGUUGGAUGUAUGCUCUAGAGACUGC